rnacentral:lncRNA from 1 species
AAUACCCUAAGGCCGGCCAUUUAGAGAUGGAGUGAGUUUUGGACUUAUUUACAAGUUUGCCACUCCAAUGAAAUAAGGUAUAAAUAUGACUUUAUAGCCAAAAUUCAUUUAGGGUUUUCUUUUGGGGAAAUGAUGAGAACAUAAUCUCUCCUUUCUCUCUAAAGUGGCCAGCCUCCUUGGAGGGUUUAGCUAGCAAUCCUACUACUCCAAGGUCACUCAUUUC